rnacentral:SRP_RNA from 1 species
CUAGGGGGGCUGUGCAAUUGGACCCUGCAAACCCCGCCAGGUCCGGAAGGAAGCAACGGUAGCAGGUCAUUCAAUGUGACACAGUAACCCCCAGGCCU